rnacentral:rRNA from 1 species
UGCGCAGGCGGAAUAUUAAGUCAGUGGUGAGAUCUUACGGCUCAACCGUAAAACUGCCAUUGAUACUGAUAUUCUUGAGUAUAGUUGUAGUGGGCGGAAUAUAUCAUGUAGCGGUGAAAUGCUUAGAUAUGAUAUAGAACACCGAUCGCGAAGGCAGCUCACUAAACUAUAACUGACGCUCAGGCACGAAAGCGUGGGGAGCAAACAGGAUUAGAUACCCUGGUAGUCC